rnacentral:rRNA from 1 species
GAUGAACGCUGGCGGCGUGCCUAAUACAUGCAAGUCGAGCGAAAAGACGAGGAGCUUGCUCCUCUGACGUUAGCGGCGGACGGGGGAGUAACACGUGGAUAACCUACCUAUAAGACUGGGAUAACUUCGGGAAACCGGAGCUAAUACCGGAUAAUAUAUUGAACCGCAUGGUUCAAUAGUGAAAGACGGUUUUGCUGUCACUAAUAGAUGGAUCCGCGCCGCAUUAGCUAGUUGGUAAGGUAACGGCUUACCAAGGCAACGAUGCGUAGCCGACCUGAGAGGGUGAUCGGCCACACUGGAACUGAGACACGGUCCAGACUCCUACGGGAGGCAGCAGUAGGGAAUCUUCCGCAAUGGGCGAAAGCCUGACGGAGCAACGCCGCGUGAGUGAUGAAGGUCUUCGGAUCGUAAAACUCUGUUAUUAGGGAAGAACAAAUGUGUAAGUAACUAUGCACGUCUUGACGGUACCUAAUCAGAAAGCCACGGCUAACUACGUG